rnacentral:rRNA from 1 species
AUUGAACGCCGGCGGCAGGCCUAACAUAUGCAAGUCGAGCGGAUGAAGGGAGCUUGCUCCUGGAUUCAGCGGCGGACGGGUGAGUAAUGCCUAGGAAUCUGCCUGGUAGUGGGGGAUAACGUCCGGAAACGGGCGCUAAUACCGCAUACGUCCUGAGGGAGAAAGUGGGGGAUCUUCGGACCUCACGCUAUCAGAUGAGCCUAGGUCGGAUUAGCUAGUUGGUGGGGUAAAGGCCUACCAAGGCGACGAUCCGUAACUGGUCUGAGAGGAUGAUCAGUCACACUGGAACUGAGACACGGUCCAGAAUCCUACGGGAGGCCGCAGUGGGGAAUAUUGGACAAUGGGCGGAAGCCUGAUCCAGCCAUGCCGCGUGUGUGAAGAAGGUCUUCGGAUUGUAGAGCACUUUAAGUUGGGAGGAAGGGCAGUAAGUUAAUACCUUGCUGUUUUGACGUUACCAACAGAAUAAGCACCGGCUAACUUCGUG